GAUGAACGCUGGCGGCGUGCCUAAUACAUGCAAGUCGAGCGAAGCGGGGACGGGUGAGUAACACGUGGAUAACCUCCUAUAAGACUGGGAUAACUUCGGGAAACCGGAGCUUAACCGGAAACUUAUAGAUUGCUCCGCGCUGCAUUAGCUAGUUGGUAGGGUAACGGCUUACCAAGGCAACGAUGCAUAGCCGACCUGAGAGGGUGAUCGGGCAAACCGGAACGGAGACACAGUCCAGGCGCCUACGGGAGGCAGCAGUAGGGAAUCUUGCGCAAUGGGGGAAAGCCUGACGGAGAAAUGCAGCGUGAUGGAUGAAGGGCUUCGGAUCGUAAAACUCUGUUAUUAGGGAAGCGGUGCCUAAUCAGAAAGGCACGGCUAACUACGGGCCAGCCACCGCGGUAAUAC
rnacentral:rRNA from 1 species